CCUUUCAAAGAAGUCUAAUAUGUCUUAUAUAUGGCCAUUUUAGUGGUGAUAUACUCUAACUUUUGUUCAUCUGGAAACUUCUUUAUGUCUCCUUCAAUACUGAAUGCUAACCUUGCUGGUUUUAGGGUACUUGGUUGUAGGUUUUUUCCUUUCAGUACUUCAAAUAUACCAUACCACUGCAUUCUGGCCUGCAAAGUUUCUGCUCAAGAAUCAACUUAAAGCUUAAAAUGGGUUUUCUUGCAAGUAAGCAAUUGCUUUUCUUUUGCUCCUUUAAAAAUUCUCUUUAAUUUUUAUGUCAUAAUUAGUAUCUGUCCUGAUGUGGGCCUUUUUGGGUUCACACUGGAGCUCUCUGUCGAUCCUGGAGCUUGAUGUCUGUUUCAUUCCCCAGUGUAGGGAAGUUUUCUGUGAUUAUUUCUUUUAGUUUUCUAUGUGAAUUGCAUUAUCCUUGAUGUUGUCCUAGAGGUUUCUUCUUUUAGAUCACUGAUCUGUCCUGCAUCUUGUUAUCUGCUGUUGAUUCUCUGUACUAUAUUUUUCAUUUCAGUUGUUGUACUUUACAGCUCUGAUUGGUUAUAUUUUCUGCUUCCUUGCUGAAGUUUUCAAGCUGCUCAUCCACUCUUCUCUCAAGUAUGGUGGUCAUCUUCAUGACUAUUGCUUUGAACUCUUGAUCAGGGCAAGACUUGCUUUGGAGUGGUGCUGGUUCUGGACCGGGUUGACCACAAGGCAUGGCAGGGUAACAGUCGCUAUACAGGAACACCUGCAAUGAGAGAUCACGAGUUGGGGAGACACAGAAUCUGAAGCACCCUCCACGCUCUCAGCUGUCAUCACAGAGCUGGAUGAGGGGCUCAAACCUAUGAACUGUGAGUGAGAUCAUGACCUGAGCCGAAGUCAGACGCUUAAUUGACUGAAACACCCAGGUGCCCCUUUCUACUUACAGUUUUUGAUUUCUGGUCUAAUUUCACUAAAUCAGAAAGCAUACGCUCAACAAUUUUAACCUUUAGAAACUGAGACUUGCAUUAUGUGAAGGCUAUGGUCCAAUUUCAUAAAUGAUCUAGGUGCAUCUACAAGAAUGUGCAGUUCACAAUUGUAUUUCACAUAGUUUUCAUUUGUUAAAAAUUAGAGAGGUUAAUGUCUAUUAAUAUGGCUGUAGAUUUGUCUCUAUUUUUAUCAAUUUUUGCUUUAUAUAUUUUGAGGACAUAGUAUUAGUACAUGCAUCAUUAUAACUUCUUGGUGGAUUAUCUGAGUAUAUUAUCUUCCUGAUUAUAUUUUCCUGGUAUAUUAUCAUUAAGAAGGUCUGUUUGGGGGCGCCUAGGUGGUUCAGUUGAUUAAGCAGGUAACUCUUGAUUUCAGCUCUGGUCAUGAUCUCAUGGUUCCUGGGUUUGAGCCCUAUGUUGGGCUCUCUGCUGACAGCAUGGAGCCCACUUGGGAUUCUCUCUCUCCCUGCUCCUAUCCUGCAUGCAUGCACAUGUGCUCUCUCCCUCUUU